GGCUGUUCCGAGGUUCGAACUCCGCACAUCUGGCAUGCGAGGUGAGCGUGAUGCCACUACUCCACCAGC
rnacentral:tRNA from 11 species